UGUGGCGGAAAAAUCCACUAAGCUACUUGACUAAAAAAAAUGAUGAAAAAAAAGUAGUUUUAACCUAGAGAAAAAUAUGGAAUCUGUGAAUAUAAGAAAGUUUAAAAAUUUAAAAAAGGACAUAUAGUUUUAGAAUUAUGAAAUGAAACAAUACUUAAUUUUGUAAUUACCUAAUAAGCCAAAGCCAGCAGAUAGACUAUGUUGCAUCCACAUCAUAGGCGCAUGUAAGUGGAUUACAUGUAUAGCAUAAUGAUAAUGAUUAUAAUUUGUUGCAUGGAUCGAGAUCCUAGGAUGUUAUUUUACCACUUCUCUGGGUGCUAAUCCUUGUAUUCUACGUGCUGCUUUAGGGAAGGAUAGUCUUAGAAUAAACAGGGUUCAGUUUGCUUUCUUAGGUUUUCUUUUGCUCCUCAUUCAUGCUUUGGUUACAAGCAUGGAAGUUUUGCUUUUGUUUUGGUUCAAAGGAGGGUUUGUAUUGGGUUAAGCUUGUCUUGCUUCUGUUUUGUGAAUUUGAUCGUAC
rnacentral:lncRNA from 1 species